UACGUAGGGGGCGAGCGUUGUCCGGAAUUAUUGGGCGUAAAGGGCGCGUAGGCGGUGCCACAAGUCACCUGUGAAAUCUCCGGGCUUAACUCGGAGCCUGCAGGCGAAACUGUGGUGCUGGAGUGUGGGAGAGGUGCGUGGAAUUCCCGGUGUAGCGGUGAAAUGCGUAGAUAUCAGGAGGAACACCGGUGGUGUAGACGGCUAUCUGGACCGUAACUGACGCUGAGACACGAAAGCGUGGGUAGCAAACAGG
rnacentral:rRNA from 1 species